GUUCCAAUUGCUCACUUGGUAAAGUUGAAGAUGAGCUUCAUUUCUUAUUAGAAUGCCCUCUUUAUGAUAUUCAAAGGGACGAUUUUUUAAAGACAUUUCUAACAAUUGUUGUAAUUUUAUAAAUUUAAAUAAAUCUUCUAAAUUUUUAUGGCUCUUGACCCAAGAAAAUGUUACUCUUAUGGAAAAACUGGGCUGUUAUAUUUGUGACUGUUUUGGAUUAAGGAGAUCAGGUAUGAACACUGACACUAAGUCAAGUAAAUAAUUUGAGAAUAAAUACAUAUACAUGUAUAAUGUAAUUUUAUUAUUCUUUUAUUCACAAUAUAUACAAUGUAUGUGGUUUUUAGCUUGAUUCUGACCAAUGCGUAUAUUCCAAAUAUAUAUGUAUAUGCCUCUAUUGUUGUUGUUACCAAUUAUGUAAAUCAAUUGUAUCUGAUUUUAUGCCCUUUAUGGGCCCUGUAAUUUGCAAUUUGGGAAAUUACAAACUGUCACAUAAGGGUUAGCAAUUACAUAACUUCUGAUUGAUUACUAGUACUUUGAAUUUACAAGACAUUUAAGCAAUCUGAGGUAUUAUAAAGCCUGUCACUGACUAGAAAUUACUGGAUUUUAACAUUAGUCAGUACAGAAGGUGUCGUCAGUGGUAAUUGAACAGUUAGCACAGAUGCUUCCUUCAGUAUAAGUGGAAUCGUUAGCUGUAUGGUGUAAUAGUCAAACUUUUGAAUCAAUAGCCUGUCAACAUGGAGGUUGAGAGUUCGAAUACAGGUACUAGUAGCAGGUGCGUUCUACUCAAAUCCAAAUUGACGUCAUCAAUAAAAGAUGUCCGCCAUGAAAUAGCGAAAUACUGCUAAAAGUGCCGUUUGUUUUGUUAUAACUUUUGUUUUUCUAUAUUGUGUUGUGAAGAUUGUUGUUUGUCCGCUUGUGUAUUUCCUUUGGUCACGAUGGUGUCUGUCUUAUAUGUUUUUGACUACUCUUUAUUGCAAUUUCUUCUAUAGAUUAUUAUGAAAUACCAUAGUAAAGUUAAAAGUUAAAUGAGAGAGAAAAAGGACAACCCUAUACAUCAUCUUUGACCUGGUUAUCAAAU
rnacentral:lncRNA from 1 species